rnacentral:rRNA from 1 species
GAUGAACGCUGGCGGCGUGCCUAAUACAUGCAAGUAGAACGCUGAAGGAGGAGCUUGCUCUUCUGGAUGAGUUGCGAACGGGUGAGUAACGCGUAUGUAACCUGCCUGGUAGCGGGGGAUAACUAUUGGAAACGAUAGCUAAUACCGCAUGACAACAGUUAUUGCAUGAUAACUGUUUAAAAGGGGCAACUGCUCCACUACCAGAUGGACCUGCGUUGUAUUAGCUAGUUGGUGAGGUAACGGCUCACCAAGGCGACGAUACAUAGCCGACCUGAGAGGGUGAUCGGCCACACUGGGACUGAGACACGGCCCAGACUCCUAAGGGAGGCAGCAGUAGGGAAUCUUCGGCAAUGGACGGAAGUCUGACCGAGCAACGCCGCGUGAGUGAAGAAGGUUUUCGGAUCGUAAAGCUCUGUUGUAAGAGAAGAACGAGUGUGAGAGUGGAAAGUUCACACUGUGACGGUAUCUUACCAGAAAGGGACGGCUAACUACGUG